CAAAACCAGGACCCGUCCCACACCGGGCUCUUAGAACACGGCCUUCUCUGCUACUUCACAUCUCCAGCUGCUGCUGAGCCAGCUCUUUUGGUGGACAGCUGCCUUGGGAAAGUGCCUGUUUGCACAUCAACAGUAUGGGGACCAGGGACCCUGGGGUCGGCCAUGGCUUCACAUAAAGGAAAGCCUCUUCCUCCUGAGGCUGGCUGAGGACAGGCGCCGUGUUCCACUCAACGUCUGCCAAAGGCAGGCAGCUGGCAGGGCUGCAAGGUUUUGUCCUCAUAAAAAGGCUUCAAUAAACACCCCUAAACCCCUACGGUUAUGCACAAAUGCUAAAAUGCCUGCGUGAUACUUUUGAGCAAUCGCUGGAUAAAUCACAUUCACUUUUAAUUUAGCAGACAAGGCCAGAUAAGAUUCUCAAAAGAUCAUUUCAGUAUGCACUUCUGCCAGAAACGUGAACUAAUUCCCCGCACCCUCAGCAGCUCCAGAGGUGCGGAGUUUUGAUGUUUGCUGUUGCAAAGCGGAGAAGCAGGCUCUGCUGUUGCCAGAGUUCGCCUUUCCCUA
rnacentral:lncRNA from 1 species